rnacentral:rRNA from 1 species
CUACGGGGCGCAGCAGUGGGGAAUAUUGCACAAUGGGCGCAAGCCUGAUGCAGCCAUGCCGCGUGUAUGAAGAAGGCCUUCGGGUUGUAAAGUACUUUCAGCGGGGAGGAAGGGAGUAAAGUUAAUACCUUUGCUCAUUGACGUUACCCGCAGAAGAAGCACCGGCGAACUCCGUGCCAGCAGCCGCGGUAAUACGGAGGGUGCAAGCGUGAAUCGGAAUUACUGGGCGUAAAGCGCACGCAGGCGGUUUGUUAAGUCAGAUGUGAAAUCCCCGGGCUCAACCUGGGAACUGCAUCUGAUACUGGGAAGCUUGAGUCUCGUAGAGGGGGGUAGAAUUCCAGGUGUAGCGGUGAAAUGCGUAGAGAUCUGGAGGAAUACCGGUGGCGAAGGCGGCCCCCUGGACGAAGACUGACGCUCAGGUGCGAAAGCGUGGGGAGCAAACAGGAUUAGAUACCCUUGUAGUC